ACUGUCAGUGAUGAUCAAUUGUCCACAUUGCUUGAGUUUAAACACUGAAAAAACUCACAUGCACUACCAUCUGAGACACA
ensembl:snoRNA SNORD33 Small nucleolar RNA Z195/SNORD33/SNORD32 family